rnacentral:lncRNA from 1 species
GAUUUGUUAAUACCCAAACAUUCAUUUCAUACCUUUGCUCACCUGAACAGGAUAUAAAUAUUGGACUGAACCUCACAACAGGCAGGUACAGCUUCCAAGUGGACAGACAAUACUGACAAUACUCAGCCAUUAAACCACGAUGAAGACUAUUCUGUUUCUGACUGUUCUUGUGACUCUAUCCAGCACAGCUGGAGCCAUUCAAUGUGAACGCUGCAUUGACCCAAACGACCCCAACUGCAUGUUUAUCGAAAAUGUUGAUUGUCCCACUCUGAGCAUGUGCAUGACGGCCUAUGCCACAGUAUCAAAUGGAAUCCCAAGAAUCUUCAGGAACUGCACAGUGCCUGAAGUGUGUCCAACCACAGGCACUCACGUAAUUUCUGCCAAUCUGGGUCCCUCAUACUCCUACGCAACAGUCUCUUGUUGCAACACCGAUAACUGCAACAAUGACGUUCUAACUUUUCCAACUCUUCCUGAUUUCAACAAUGAAACCUGCCAAGGAUGCGAUCCCAGCACUUCAAGCUGCGACCAAAUUGUGAAUUGUAGAGGAGAGGAAGACACCUGCAUUGAAGCGCCAGUUGUUAGUUUUGGGGUGCCAUCCACUCUGUCUGGCUGCGGCAGUACUAACAUAUGUGAGGCUACGAUGUUCAUGGACUUUCUGCCGUUUCUGGAAUUUUUGGGCUCAAUAUUCUUGGAUCCCACCUGCCUUUCUGCUAUCCCAACCACUACUACACCUAUGCCAACAACAACUACGCCAAUGACAACCACUACUACGCCUAUGCCAACAACAACUACGCCUAUGCCAACAACUACUACAGCUGCAGCUACAACAACAGAGUCCCCUGAUGAGUCCACUGCCCCUCCCCAUCCUUAUAACCUCACUGACGCACAUGAGGUACUUCAUAAAAUUCUGAAUGCAUCAAAAAGCAGUUUGUACCAUCUGUACCUAGCCUCCAAUAAGCUGAAAGAGCUCGUGAGCCACCAGCAUGCAACACAUCUGACCCAACUACACCAGCAUCUACUCGACUACCAAAAAAGUCUGUUCUCCCAACAAUGUGACCUGCCAUUCUACCACCAGCACCAGCUGCCACUCCUCUACCAGCAAAACAUGAUCCUCAACCACCACCAACUCCUGCUCCACCAACUGCAUCAGCACAUCCCCAAGGAUCAGUGCGUAGACGAGCUUUCCCAGCAACAACUGUUGGUCCAACAACUGCAGCAACAACUGCAACAGUACCAGAUCCUUCUGAUGGCUUACUCCUGCCACCACCCAGAUCACAUUUAUUACCCUCACAUGAUACACCAGAUGCCCUUUUCCAUGCCUUAUCUCUAUCCUACUUACCCUUGAACGCAGUAUACUCCAGACAGGGAAAUGGUUAAUAUAUUGAUUGUACCUCCAUGCCCAGCACUCUUUUAAACAUAUGCUAUUAUUUGUAAUGAUUUGAACACGUGACCUUAAUAAUUAUAGUGAUUAGAAUAAGUCGGUUCCAAUGAGAUUAAUUUUGUCUUCUUUUUGAAUUGUAUGUUGAGUUUUUUUUUUAUUCAGACAUGUUUCGACUGUCAACUGCCAGUUUUCUUCAGAGGAGUUCUGCUAAUCACCUUUGAUGGUUCUUUUGAAGUUUCACUUGACUUCUAUGUAAUGGUUCCAGCGAGAUUGAUUUGUCUUCUGUAUGUUGAGUCUUUUCCCAUAAAUGUAUUUUAUUUAUUAAUCAUGCUUAAUAAAUCAGAAUGAAAAUCAAUCCA